GUGCUUACUUCGGCAGCACAUAGACUAAAUUUGGAACAAUGCAGAGAUUAGCAUGGCCCGGGCUGAAGGAUGAUGUGCCAAUCAGUAUAUAGAAACAAAGAGAAGUU